rnacentral:rRNA from 1 species
UGGGGAAUUUUGCACAAUGGGGGAAACCCUGAUGCAGCGACGCCGCGUGAUUUAGAAGGCCUUCGGGUUGUAAAAAUCUUUUGUAUGGGAAGAAAAUGACAGUACCAUACGAAUAAGGACCGGCUAAUUACGUGCCAGCAGCCGCGGUAAUACGUAAGGUCCGAGCGUUGUCCGGAAUCAUUGGGCGUAAAGGGUACGUAGGCGGGUAAGCAAGUUAGAAGUGAAAUCCUAUAGCUCAACUAUAGUAAGCUUUUAAAACUGCUCAUCUUGAGAUAUGGAAGGGAAAGUGGAAUUCCUAGUGUAGCGGUGAAAUGCGCAGAUAUUAGGAGGAAUACCGGUGGCGAAGGCGACUUUCUGGCCAUAAUCUGACGCUGAGGUACGAAAGCGUGGGUAGCAAACAGG